rnacentral:misc_RNA from 1 species
AAAAAAAAAAAAAAAAGAAAAGCUACUAUACUUCCAAUACCAUAGCUUAUGUUUUUACCAACAAUCUUUUUAAUGAGAGAUGAAGCCUUAUAAUCAAACUCUCCAAAUAUUCCGUUCUCACAUGGACCACGCAGGAAUUAGUCAAGAUUCCUGUGCUAUAUCUGGAACAUGUCAACAUAAAAUAAAAUAACCAUUGGAUCAGUAGACCAAAAAUCACUCAUUAAGGCAUUUGUUAAUUCUUUCAGUACAAUAAUUUCAUGAAGAAAUGGGAGGCCGACCUGCAAGAACUUUAGGUUGGACAUGUGUCUUUGAUAAUGAUGUUAGCGUAACUUACAUGGUGAAAAUGAUUUAAAAUGAAAAGAGU